CGAAGGACCCAAGCGUUAUCCGGAUUUAUUGGGUUUAAAGGGUGCGUAGGCGGGUUGUUAAGUCAGUGGUGAAAGCUCCGAGCCUAACUCGGAAACUGCCAUUGAUACUGAUGAUCUUGAGUACAUUUGAGGUGGGCGGAAUGUGUCAUGUAGCGGUGAAAUGCUUAGAGAUGACACAGAACACCGAUUGCGAAGGCAGCUCACUAAACUGUAACUGACGCUGAGGCACGAAAGCGUGGGGAGCAAACAGGAUUAGAUACCCUGGUAGUCCACGCCCUAAACGAUGAUCACUCGAUGUGUGCGAUACACUGUACGCGUCCGAGCGAAAGCAUUAAGUGAUCCACCUGGGGAGUACGGCCGCAAGGCUG
rnacentral:rRNA from 1 species